ACCUGAGUGGCUCAGUCAGUUAAGCGUCUGACUUCGGCUCAGGUCAUGAUCUCACAGUUUGUGGGUUCAAGCCCCGCAUCGGGCU
rnacentral:tRNA from 1 species